rnacentral:rRNA from 1 species
AGUGAACGCUGGCGGUAGGCCUAACACAUGCAAGUCGAACGGCAGCACAGUAAGAGCUUGCUCUUACGGGUGGCGAGUGGCGGAAGGGUGAGGAAUACAUCGGAAUCUACUUUUUCGUGGGGGAUAACGUAGGGAAACUUACGCUAAUACCGCAUACGACCUACGGGUGAAAGCAGGGGAUCUUCGGACCUUGCGCGAUUGAAUGAGCCGAUGUCGGAUUAGCUAGUUGGCGGGGUAAAGGCCCACCAAGGCGACGAUCCGUAGCUGGUCUGAGAGGAUGAUCAGCCACACUGGAACUGAGACACGGUCCAGACUCCUACGAGAGGCAGCAGUGGGGAAUAUUGGACAAUGGGCGCAAGCCUGAUCCAGCCAUACCGCGUGGGUGAAGAAGGCCUUCGGGUUGUAAAGCCCUUUUGUUGGGAAAGAAAAGCAGCAGGUUAAUACCCCGCUGUUCUGACGGUACCCAAAGAAUAAGCACCGGCUAACUUCGUG